GAUGAACGCUGGCGGCGUGCCUAAUACAUGCAAGUCGAGCGAACAGACGAGGAGCUUGCUCCUCUGACGUUAGCGGCGGACGGGUGAGUAACACGUGGAUAACCUACCUAUAAGACUGGGAUAACUUCGGGAAACCGGAGCUAAUACCGGAUAAUAUAUUGAACCGCAUGGUUCAAUAGUGAAAGACGGUUUUGCUGUCACUUAUAGAUGGAUCCGCGCCGCAUUAGCUAGUUGGUAAGGUAACGGCUUACCAAGGCAACGAUGCGUAGCCGACCUGAGAGGGUGAUCGGCCACACUGGAACUGAGACACGGUCCAGACUCCUACGGGAGGCAGCAGUAGGGAAUCUUCCGCAAUGGGCGAAAGCCUGACGGAGCAACGCCGCGUGAGUGAUGAAGGUCUUCGGAUCGUAAAGCUCUGUUAUUAGGGAAGAACAAAUGUGUAAGUAACUAUGCACGUCUUGACGGUACCUACACAGAAAGCCACGGCUAACUACGUG
rnacentral:rRNA from 1 species